GCGGGUAUGGUGUAAUGGUAGCGCCUUAGCCUUCCAAGCUAAUGGUGCGGGUUCGAUUCCCGCUACCCGCUCCA
rnacentral:tRNA from 4 species